AUUAUUUAAUCAUUUAUUUAAUUUAUUAUUUGAUGAGUAUUACACAUUUUAUCUAACCUUACAAGGCAGCAGCGUACGGGUGACAAAUGCACAGUGCAGAUUCAAUCUGGAAAAACUCAGAGACUCGGAUAAAGGGCUUUAUGGAAGCUGGGAUUUGAGUUGAGCAAUGGUAAUGAUACUACUAACCCUUUACAUGUAUGUAGCAUAUUUAUUUUUCUUGAGAUAAUUCACAUGCCAUAAAGUUCACCAGCAACUUUAAGUUUCUCCACAAGGUUGUCAUGACGUCCCAAAGAAACUCUGUAACCAUUAGCAGCUACUACCCAUUCCCUCACCCAAGUCCCCUGGAAACCACGGAUCUACUUUCUGUCUGUACGGAUUUGUCUAUUCUGAACAUUGGAAUCAGACAAGAGAUGGCCUUUUGCGUCUGGCUUCUAUCACCUUGUAUCCAAGGUUCAUCCAUAUUGUAGCAAGGAUCAGUAUUUCAUUCCUUUUUAUUGCUAAAUAACAUUUCGCUGCAUGGAUAUACCGUGUUUUGUUUAUCUACUCAUCAGUUUUACUUCACUCUGCAGUCCUUUCCUGAAGCAGACAAGAUUUCUCUGCCUGCUAGGAAGAUGUAGCCAGCAGACCCAAACUUACACUUUAUAGAUUCUAAACAGAAAGAGACAGCCUUCCCUACUCGAUCCAGCAGAAAAGCCCAGGGCUUUGGUUCAUGCCCACUCCAGAACCAAUCAGCACCUGGAGAAUAUGGUACUAUAAUUGGCCCAGUCUGUGGCACACGCCCAGCCCUGAGGAGUUGGGAAGAGAAGGGUGUUAUGACUGACAGCUGCAGCAAGACGGCAUAUCAUAGGAGAAGAGUUCCCUAAAGGAAACAGAUAAAGGAGGGUGACAAAGUAUGCCAAGCAGAAAAAUCCACAGUUGCCAAGUCCACUUGAGAAAUCUAAACUCAAAGUAGCAAAGGAUGCACCCGAGAUCCCACAGCACCUGCGUGGCAGAACUGGGAUUCGGAUCCCAAUGGACUCACAACUCAUCACCACAUCACAGCUGGAUGGGGGAAGCAGGUGUUUUAGGUCAGGACUGCAUGAACAUGGUUAGCCCAGAGACAUCCUGUGGGUGGGAUCUGCUGAGCCUUGAUCUUGGUCCCAAUGCCGAGGGUCAUUGACUGGGAUUCCUACCGGGAUCAAGCCCUGUACACAGCCUAUACCAAAUCCAGGAAGUUAUCUUCUGAUUUCCACUUCUCAAGCCACAAGUAUGUACAGUAUUUCGCAGUAAAGAUAUCAAAGGGAAGGAGUAUGGCCACAGUACAAACAGACACGCAGGAUGGAUGAGGAAACAUCCUCUUGAAGAAAAACAUCUCAUUUGGAGACUACAAAUUGCCUCAAAAGUCUGGAGGUAGCAGUCAACAUCCUAGCUGAAAGGCCAUUUCUGAUGAGUGAAGCCCUUGACCAUGGACCAGACAGGAAGAGUGACAUCAGGAACAAACGCCACAGUGACAACAGUAUGAAGAACAACUUGCCUUCAACUGAGUACUCAGUAUGGACGAACUAUAACUCCUGCAUCAUUUCCUUUAGCCUCCUGCGUGGCCCAGGGCAUCGUCCAGGAACUUCUCCCCGGCCCUGGCUGGGCUGGGAUGUCAGAGAGAAGUCAUGAAGGUUAGGGUCUGCAUGGAAUGCACCAGGGUAAAGAUGGGCUUACGGAGGGCUCUCUGGAGAGUCUCAAACAAAGACAAGGAGCAGAGAAAGGGAUUCCCAACAGUGCACAGGGACCAGAUGCCAGGGUGCCUUUGGGCCAAGGGACAGGAACUGAGCCAUUUGAUAAGCAUAUUCCUGUGAGUGUGUUUGGGCCAAACACAGGUACACACGCCCAUGCAAACAGUCACAUGCAUGCAUGCGUGUCCGUGCCAACAAUAAACACACUCUUCCCCUCCAGCACAAUCCAAACCCAUGUUGAGGAAGAGAAACAUUUCUCCAAACACACUUCAAAUGUACCGAUUACCCUAUGCCUUUUGGGGAUAGCAUUUCCCAUGAUUUUUUAGAAUACUGUUGGUUCCUCAUCGUUCUUUCUCCCACUUUCAGGUGAAACCUAAGCAUCCAUGUCUCAAAUGCCAGGGACAGAGCUCCCAAAGGACACCCUUUGGUUCGAAAAAAAGCCAUAAAAAGCUUUGUUAUUGGUAUCCUUUUCUUUACUUUGGGGGCAGAUCAAAUUCCAGCAGGUAAAUCCUAGGGAUUUUGCAGGGGGGUGAGGUUGGUUAAAAAAAGAUAAGGGUGGAAAUAAUUUUGGCCCCAUUGUGAGAUAUUUUUAAUCAGCCUUCAUUUGACAGGUAAUGAGCUGUUUUUGAGUGAGAUGGGGGAAGGGCAGGGAGGGCUGUAUCCAUAUAAGUCAGGAGGACAGAAACCUGUGGCCUUUGACCAAUUCAGGAAGGUUCUAUGGAAGAGGGGUCAACACCUCCCAGAUCAUCUUUCAGACACCCCCACCUGCUCCCCCCAAGAUAUUGUGUGCUUUCAUGUGCAUUGCUUGAGUUUCCGUAAAGAUGCUUCCUUUUUCCAGCCUUA